GCUCGUAGUUGGAUUUCUGGUGGGAGUGAUCGGUCGGCCUCGCAAGGGGUCUGCACCUGUAUCGUCUCUUGCCAUCCUUCAGGAAGGCGCUUCUUGUAUUGACUUAUGGGUUGCGAAUUCCUGAUCUUUUACUGUGAAAAAAUUAGAGUGUUCAAAGCAGGCUUAGGCCGUUGAAUACAUUAGCAUGGAAUAAUGAGAUAGGGCCUUGGUGGUUUUCUAUUUUGUUGGUUUGCACGCCAAGGUAAUGAUUAAUAGGGAUAGUUGGGGGUAUUCGUAUUCAAUUGUCAGAGGUGAAAUUCUUGGAUUUAUGGAAGACGAACUACUGCGAAAGCAUUUACCAAGGAUGUUUUCAUUAAUCAAGAACGAAAGUUAGGGGAUCGAAGAUGAUUAGAUACCAUCGUAGUCUUAACCAUAAACUAUGCCGACUAGGGAUUGGCGGUCGUUUCUCAACGACUCCGUCAGCACCUUCCGAGAAAUCAAAGUCUUUGGGUUCCGGGGAGUUUUUGGGUCCAACAAGCGGGCGGGGCG
rnacentral:rRNA from 1 species